CCGUGCGCUUACCCAAAAGCAAAGGAAGAAUAGAGUGGGGGAGUGGACUAUGGGAGUGUUGGGGGAGUGGGCUAUCUUCUUCGCCGCCUCCGCCGCCGCUAAACCUAGAUCCGCCGCUGCGCUAAGCCGAACCUAAGGCCGCGUUGCCUCGAACCUGCCCUCUGUGAGAAAACGUAGGAGAGGCAAACAAACGUUGUAGAGACGAGAAGAGUUCCUUUACCUCCGAUUUGUUUAACAUACCUGUCGAGGCUACUGAAGGAAGUACGAACUAGUGGUUACGUUCCAACACCCGCUACCUCAAUCUUGUAGUUGAUCGAAGUUCUUCACGGUUAACCGAGCAACACACUGACGAUACUCACUCGUAAAAGUCGAGUUAAACUGAGUACGGUUGUAACCAUUAGUGUUAUCCUGUACCUCCUCCUUUACCCCUUGUUAUGAGUCUGAAUCCCCCAACUCACCACGUAAUACCCUACUACUCUUCAGAUACUAGCAAGAAUUAGUACUCGUGAUGUGAUUGGUAUAAUUCUUGGUGUUUCUCCUACUUGGAAAAGACUUGUUCGGAGACUUCGUGAUAUUACUCUACCGAUAGUAAGUACCGUUAUGAUACCGGUGCCCAGUUAUAUGCUUUUCGAGUUUACUGGGGGAACCAUGUCUCCAAUUACUUUAAAGUCUAUUACUCCGAAGGGGUGAACUUCUUCCAUCGUUCAGUUCGUUACCUCCGCUAAGUCACCGAGGGUUAGGGUUUUCCCGGUUUUGUUUCAGAUCACAACUACUCCCCGACGUUAGUUGGGAAUACCGUCACCCACUUUCCGAACGAUAACGGUAUCUCUCCUCACAAUCGUGACUGUUGUCGUGGUGCUCGUAGAGAUGCUUGUUGAGGUACUACCCGGAAACCCUCCCGUACUUUCUAUAAGGGAAAAAGCCAUAACUAAUGGAACGGGAAAUAAAACGGAUGAACCAACUCUUAGGCUUGUAAAGUUACCGCAAAUUUGAGAACCUCUUCCUGGUUUUCUCAUAAACCCAACGAUCCAUACACUUCUUGUGGAAGGGAGGUUACCUACCAACUUCUAACAUCCGUACACACCAUAAACGUACUGGAGAAAACUAUACUGGGUUGUUAUACCUGAAACCCAACAUACUGAAUGAAAACUACAGUUGGUCUGAUACUUGAUACCCAACAUAUUGAAUCUCUACUACAUGAUAAAGUAUAGAUGUAGAGUACGUGAUGAUCAAAUAAUACAUAUCAACGAUGAACAGAUUCUACAACCUGAUACUAAUACUUCAAUGUCAAAGGAUAAAAGCUUUAAUAACCACAACUGUACAAUACAACC
rnacentral:rRNA from 1 species